rnacentral:rRNA from 1 species
UACGGGGGGGGCAAGCGUUGUUCGGAAUUACUGGGCGUAAAGGGCACGUAGGUGGCCAACUAAGUCAGACGUGAAAUCCCUCGGCUUAACCGGGGAACUGCGUCUGAUACUGGAUGGCUUGAGGUUGGGAGAGGGAUGCGGAAUUCCAGGUGUAGCGGUGAAAUGCGUAGAUAUCUGGAGGAACACCGGUGGCGAAGGCGGCAUCCUGGACCAAUCCUGACACUGAGGAGCGAAAGCCAGGGGAGCAAACGGG